UACGAAGGGGGCUAGCGUUGUUCGGAAUUACUGGGCGUAAAGCGCACGUAGGCGGACUAUUAAGUCAGGGGUGAAAUCCCCGGGGCUCAACCCCGGAACUGCCUUUGAUACUGGUAGUCUCGAGUCCGGAAGAGGUGAGUGGAAUUCCGAGUGUAGAGGUGAAAUUCGUAGAUAUUCGGCAAGAACACCAGUGGCGAAGGCGGCUCACUGGCCCGGUACUGACGCUGAGGUGCGAAAGCGUGGGGAGCAAACAGG
rnacentral:rRNA from 1 species